UCUUUGGUAUCUGCAUUUAAAGCAUUUUGAAAUAAGUAUUAUUGGUUUUUCUAAGACUUUCAUAAAUGGUUUGUGGUUUGAAUGAAAGGGGUCGUUGAUGAUUCCCGAGUUGUAAUUAUAUUUUAAUUCCGCUGCAUUUUAGUUUUCGAGACAAUGUUUUAAGUUAUCGUUAACUCUUAUUAUGCCUUGCGUUCCAUCGCGGCGGUAACACGCCCAAAGUCGAUGCGACGUAGUAGGGGUAGACGCGUAUGGAUUUUGGGGGUGUUACACCACUCGCCCUUCCUACAACUGUCAUCCGCUAAACCACCACCGCACCCACCCUUUCUCUCUCUUCCUCGCACCCCAUUCUUCUCGCUCAACCCCACGCAAAGUCUCACGCUUCUCUGUCGUGCACCGUAGCGGUGCUGCCGCACCACCACCCACCUCCAUCUUCAUUCGUUGCCGCGCUGCGCCACCCACGCUCAGCCACGCCAGCACCACACCUCGUUUUCUUCAUCCAACUCCCUCGCCAGUCGCGUCCCUCUCUGUUCGCUGCAGCGAUUUUGUGCCCCUGCGCCGCGCCGGAGUUGCGUGGGCCACCGGCUGCUCGUAGUUCGCCGUUGCACAUCGUUCACUGGAGCUCUUCGUGUCGACCCUGCUCACUGAGCAGAGGUCUUAGGAGGUUGCAGGAGGAAUACUAAAGGUUGCUAAGCAAGGUUUAAUUUCCUAAACACCAAAAUUAAGAUUCAGUUGUUUUGCAGGAGUAAACUGAAGGUCAAAGAUUUGCUUAGUCUGGAAAGUUCGUGAUAUAUGUGUUACUGCUGCGUUAUGUUACAUUAUAAAUUCACUAUGUGAUGUAACAUAUAUUUUUAAACUCGAAUCUUAAAUAUUUAGACUACGAUGUAAUAAGUCAGUAUUUUAAAGUGGAUUUCAUGAACUAAGCUCAGAUA